CAUGCAGUCGAACGGAGAUUACAGGCGGAAGUUUUCGGAUGGAAGCUUGUAAACUUAGUGGCGGACGGGUGAGUAACACGUGAGCAACCUGCCUAUCAGAGGAGGAUAACGAUUGGAAACGAUCGCUAAUACCGCAUGACAUAGCGGAACCGCAUGGUUCUGUUAUCAAAGAUUUAUCGCUGAUAGAUGGGCUCGCGUCCGAUUAGAUAGUUGGUGGGGUAACGGCCUACCAAGUCGACGAUCGGUAGCCGGACUGAGAGGUCGAACGGCCACAUUGGGACUGAGACACGGCCCAGACUCCUACGGGAGGCAGCAGUGGGGGAUAUUGCACAAUGGGGGAAACCCUGAUGCAGCGACGCCGCGUGAGGGAAGACGGUCCUCUGGAUUGUAAACCUCUGUCUUCGGGGACGAAACGAGACGGUACCCGAGGAGGAAGCCACGGCUAACUACGUGCCAGCAGCCGCGGUAAUACGUAGGUGGCAAGCGUUGUCCGGAAUUACUGGGUGUAAAGGGAGCGUAGGCGGGCAGGCAAGUCAGGCGUGAAAUAUAUCGGCUCAACCGGUAACGGCGCUUGAAACUGCAGGUCUUGAGUGAAGUAGAGGUUGGCGGAAUUCCUAGUGUAGCGGUGAAAUGCGUAGAUAUUAGGAGGAACACCAGUGGCGAAGGCGGCCAACUGGGCUUUUACUGACGCUGAGGCUCGAAAGUGUGGGGAGCAAACAGGAUUAGAUACCCUGGUAGUCCACACCGUAAACGAUGAUUACUAGGUGUGGGGGGACUGACCCCUUCCGUGCCGGAGUUAACACAAUAAGUAAUCCACCUGGGGAGUACGGCCGCAAGGUU
rnacentral:rRNA from 1 species